rnacentral:tRNA from 1 species
CAGAGUGUAGCUUAACCUAAAAGCACUUGGCUUACACCCAAGAGAUUUCAUUUUAUGACCGCUCUGA